GACGAACGCUGGCGGCGUGCUUAACACAUGCAAGUCGUACGGUAAGGCCCUUUCGGGGGUACACGAGUGGCGAACGGGUGCGUAACACGUGAGUAACCUGCCCACAACUUUGGGAUAACGCUAGGAAACUGGUGCUAAUACUGGAUAUGUGCUCCUGCUUCAUGGUGGGGGUUGGAAAGCUCCGGCGGUUGUGGAUGGACUCGCGGCCUAUCAGCUUGUUGGUGGGGUAGUGGCCUACCAAGGCGGCGACGGGUAGCCGGCCUGAGAGGGUGACCGGCCACAUUGGGACUGAGAUACGGCCCAGACUCCGACGGGAGGCAGCAGGGGGGAAUAUUGCACAAUGGGCGCAAGCCUGAUGCAGCAACGCCGCGUGCGGGAUGACGGCCUUCGGGUUGUAAACCGCUUUCAGCAGGGACGAAGCUUUUUGUGACGGUACCUGCAGAAGAAGCACCGGCUAACUACGUG
rnacentral:rRNA from 1 species